rnacentral:lncRNA from 1 species
AAAGUUGGGAAUAGGACUGCUUUGUAGGGGCUUCAGAAGGAUACAGGAAUGCAGAUAGAAGGGAGUCUGCAGUAAUACAGAAGAAUGGUCAAAGUAAUGUGGGUAUGAGCAAAGCUAGGCCAGACUUUAGGUCAGCCCUACUGAAUGGAGAAGAGCAGAAUAUCUCUGAACUGGGGACAAAAUCCAAAGUGAUACCGGAGUUAAAAUAAUCUGUAGUACUGUUAAUGGAAAGAAUCUGAGGUUGAUGGAGGUUUCAAGCUAACUGCUUGGGGUAUCGCAGUCCGAAUCUGUUUGAUUAUUCUUGCUACCUGUGUUUUUGUAGUUAGAUAAUUAGAAUUUUUAUGUGGACUUAAGUGUUUUGAUCUAGAAGUUCUUAGAAGGACCACAGCUGUCAUAUUUUAACAUGUUAAUAUCUCUAUUUUGAAAGAUACCCGUUUUCCUUUUAAAGUGAGAUUGAUAUACCAGCAUAUAGGCACUUGUUAUCUACAAGUUGGGUUCAUUUAUGGUCAAACAGUUGUAUUUAUUUGUCUCUCUAACCUGUUUGCUUUUUUUCAUCAACAGGAAGGGAAUUGGAAAUGCAUGACAAUCCCAGAGAACAAGAUCAUUUUAGUGACUCAUUUGCUUAUGCUAAAAUCUACUGUGAAUAGGUUCCAUGCUGACCGACAGGGCAUGACUUGCAUGUAAUUCUGGCUACUUGAAAAUUGUACCGAUUAACAUGAGGUCUGGCUUUGCGUUUGCCUGACAUGGUUCCACCAUGUUACCAGUGGUAACUUUCCCCACUACCGUUAGGAGCACUUAUGUACCACUUCUACGUCUCCUUCUUGUAUUCAAAAAUGUUCCAAGGGUGAGGCUAUGAAAAGCAAUACUGCUGUCUCUGUUGCUUCAUUUCUGUCCAACCACAACAAUUUUGCUCUUGAAUUUUAGAUCAAAACUGCAGCCAUAGGGAGUGCCAGGCCUGAGUGAUGUGAUGGACACACCCAGGGCGUAUGCUCAGGGAGUAUCAGGUGUUUAUAACUCCUACUCAUCAUGUUUCAUUGGUUUAUCUUAGAAGAGAAUAGUAUAUCCUAACUCAUCUGUUUUUACCCUUAGCUGCCUGAAAAGGAAAUGGCAAACAUCUUCUAGAAGUACAAAAUCUAGAAUUAUCAAUGGGGGGAAAAAAGACCAACACCCUGAGAAUUCUAACUGCAGUGGCACUCAGCUGAAUCUUAUUUAUACAGGGUGUGGUAUAGCUGCCAGCUAGGAGAGGAGAUGGGAUGAGGGAGAGAGGCGCAGCUGUGCAUACAUGAGCCAAAGCAAACAGCUGCUCAGGUGAUCCUGGUAGGGCUACAUGAGCCCUUAUACCAUACCAGUGGACCUCUGCUUAAUCGAGUGUGUGCCUGGGAUCUGUUGCAGCAUGGUAUCACUGACAUUGACUUUUUUCUUUCUUUCUUUCUUUUUUGAUAAAAGGUAACCUUAUUUAAGAGACAUGCAAACUUCUAUGUUUAUUAAGCAGUGAAGUGUGCUGCUCAUUUGGUCUGAUGUGGCUAGUGGAGAAAUCCACCAGAAGUGUCUCUAUUAGGCAUGCCGGGAGAGACUUAAGCGGAUAAGCGAAGAGAGAUUCCUUACUUCGUUUGUCAGUUAACAGUUAUUAUAAAAGAGCUCUUUUGCAUUACCAAAAUGAGUUAGAAAGUUUCAGCCUUGCAUGAGGGAUGUACCAUUCACUGAUGGCUUUUGCAGGGUGGUAUUUUCUUUGGAAUUCACUGUAGAUUUUUCAUUUCCAAUUUCUUUUAUUUGUUAUGAGGCUCGAGGAAAAAAGAAUAUUUGUAAAGGAAAAGCUGGGCAAUAUGCUGGAGAUGAUUAAAAACAAAAAACACAGCAAUAAAGCAAAACAGAAAAUCCCAAACAAGUAGAACCUAAUGAAAAGCUAACCUGUCAGCCUGUCUUAUUUGAAAAGGACACAGACUUGAAGUUUCUCAGACAGUUUUGUGUGUCUUUCCCCACCGCCACCCGAAUCGAAACUUCGUUUGGACGUGCAGCAUCUCCUUAUGCAUUAAUUGUAUGCACAAAGUGUCACUUUUUAACACUUUAUAGGCGUCAUAAAGGAUCAGCACGUACUUUUAUGAAAGCUUGGGCUUGCGACCUGACACCUAGUUUAUGUAACCUAGAUAUACCCUGCUUGGUACAGCAAAGAGCAACUUGAGACACUUCAAAAUGUUUCUGACUUGUAAAACCAUAUUCACAGCUUUUAAACCACAAAAAUUUGAAUCUCUUCCGGAUGAAAGUGAUAGACUUGAGCACAUCUGUAGCUUCUUAACGUCACCAAGCAUCUUUUUCUAAUUUUUCCUUAACUCUUUGUGGUGUAAUUGCUGUUUACUUGUUGGACAACAAAGUGAAGCAGACCGUCUGCUGCUGACUCUUUGCAGAAGAUUGCUGUGCUCUGAAAAUCACGUAGCGGGACAUUUGCAACAGGAUUUGCUAUAAAUGCUGUGAAGUAACCAAGAACAGCACAUUGCAUUUCUCCUACUUGGCGAUAGAGUGUGUUGAAAAUUUAUCUUUGAGUAAAAAACAGGUUUUUGCAUUCCUGGUGUAGGUUUAGAGAGGUAAAAUGCAAGAAAAAAGAAUGGUAGGUAUAUUUUAUGCUCAGUGCAUCUUAAAGAUAAUGUCUCCUGAUAAAAGCACUGAUUUGAAUCCUACUACAGAGCUUAUUCAUUCCUGCAGUCAACUUGUGCAGUCUCGUAGUGAAUACAGAAUUGGGAAACCACGGGAAUGUUUUUGUUUUAUCUAUAGUAGGUUGGUGCUGAGUGGUGAUUGUGUAUUCAGUGGUAGUGGUCAUGCAGAAACAACGUUGCACUACAGUUGCUGAUAAGUAUCCUUUCUUUAUUCCUUGCGCAUCCGUGCACGUGUGUUGCUGUUAAUAUGAAAUCACUAACUUGGUCACUGUGACAAAGAUACUUAUCUGCACGUAACUUCUGAGCUGCAUCUCUGGUGCCAGUUCUCAUUAGAUGGAUUAAAUUCAAUUAUAUUAGUACAAUGUAAGUAAUAUUGGAGAAAAGGGGAAAUAGCUUUUAGACUUACCAUGAAAAUACCUGAUUUCUAGCUAUAAAACAGCAACUGAUUUUUUUUCUUUGAGUAAAGGCUAAUUUUCAUGAGCAGAGUACUGAGAUGUUGUUGCAAAUUCCUGACACUCUGUAAGGCUUUUUGUUUGUUUGUUUUCCCUUGUGUAUAUGCAAAUUAUCUUGGACUGACCCAAAGCUACAUUGCUUUCCUUUUUCUAAAAGGAAAAAGCAAGUAGUUCUGUUUUAAAAGUAUUUUCUAUUUCAUACAGUUCAGCAGAAGUUUUAUUUACGGAGCUUUUUUGUUUGUUUGUUUUUGUGGGGUGUUUUUGGAGGGAGGUUGAUGUGUUUUUUACUUAGUGCCUGCUGACGUGUUCAAACCCCAUUCUGAUAAUUUUUUGGUCAGCUUUAAUAUUUAGUUUAAAUGAGUCAAGCUUGUGCAAGGGAAAUUGAUAAGCAGAUUAAUACUGCGGGACCGUAUUCUAUUUUGGAUGUUCUAUAGUAGCUCUUUUAGUGGUUGUUUGUCAAGGGUUAAGUACGUUGUUAGCUAAGAUUAUCAUAGGUGGGAAAUAACUCAAAUUUGUCUCACUGCUGGGAGCCCAGGUUUGAGAGCUGUUAACGCUUUCUGUGUUCUGUUCUGUAUUUAAGACAUGAAUAGGACCGCAAAGAUCAGCUGGCAAGCAGGACUCGUUGAGCCACUCACUUCCCUAAUUGCCAGGAGGGAAACCAUUUUUAUUUAAUUUUAAUCUGCCAUAAGCUGAGCGUGCAGUUCUUUGAGCCACAAAAGCUAAAAUCCUGCACCAGCCUUUAAUGUAUGUUCAUACAUAAAAGCUGUUUAAUUGGUUUUGUUUGCCUGUGUCAGAAAUUAAGUGUGAAGUCUCCUGCCUUAUCCCUUCUGAUUAGAUCUGCAAAUCCAAUCUUUUAUAGAGGGUAUGUUCUAAACGACUAUGAUUGCUGCUUUGGUUGCAUCUUUUAUGAAUGCUUUGUUAAAAGCAGGAGGGCUUAUUUUGGAUUUGGUUUUCACACAUGUGGUAAAUAUCUGUCCCUGCUUACAGUUUCACAAUUUGCUCCAAUUUAACCUGCUUUUUUCAGGCUUGUCCCCUUUUCUCUGAGCUGCAAGCACCUCUUAAGGUGUCAGCAUUAGCAUGCUACCAGUGGGAGGAAAAGUAAAACCAGGCACCUUAUUCAAAAGAAGCUCUUACAAAUAUGGUAGUGCACAAGUAUUGAAUCUCCAAACUGACAUCCCCUGUAAGUCUGGAUUGUUACUUUCCCUCGAACUUGGUUUACAGGUUUUUUCCUCUCUGUUUUUCUUGAAGUUUGUUUCCAAAUUCUCCUUGACUUUCUAUGCAUUAUCACCAUCAGUGGGUUGGUUGAUAGUGGCAUGAUACAUGCGUGGUAGACAUAGAUAUCCAUGCCUCUGUAUAUUUGUGUUGUACAAGUAUAAGUAAUUUUGUUAAACACCUUUGUUUGCCUUGCUGCAGAUGUGUAUAGCCACACAGGGUGGCGUGCCAUGUAAUGUGGGAUUCUUGUUACACCAAGUAAAGCGUAUGUCAAGAUGCAAGCAACUUUAUUUUUUGAACUACCUCUGCAUACUGGAGUACCCCAAUUAUCUCUGCAUUAGUAGAAACAAUAUUUCUGUUGACUUUCUUUGUCCAAAGGGGCUUUGAUGUAGUCUUACCUUAUACCUUCAGUUAUUAUAGACUUUCUAGAUCUGACUUCAGCCUGUGGCGCCUGCUAAGUCCUCCAAAUCCAGCAUUUGCUGCUAGGACUUUAUUUUGCUGUAGUUCAACAUAUUUUUCUGCUUAGCUUGUUGAGUAGAAGAGAUGUGGUAGAUCAGCUAACGUAAUCUUUUUUUUUUUUUGGAGUCUGGGAUUAGUUAAAUUAUCCAUGUUUUGUUCUCAGUACGGCAAAAGGAUGCAUUUUGAAUAGAUGUAUUCUUUGGAUUCCUGACUAAAGGUUAGAGUGACACAAUCAACCUGACGUUGACAAAUCAUGUGAAAUCUCACUUUUUGCUGGUACUUAGCCAUUUUCCCUCCUGUGACAGAAAUGCUUGUAUUAGUGAACAUAUUUGAAUGGAACUGAUCAGAUUGCAUGAGAUUUCAGAUAAUUGCAUUUUCCUUCUUUCCCUUCUGCAAAAGAGAAAACAGGUGGUAUAAGUGAGCCACUGCAGUGUCUUGCUUUUACCUCCAAAACCAAUUAUUUAUUAUUGAAUGUUUGUUUUAUCCUCUAAAGGAAGGCAGCAUUCUGCUUAUUUGUACUUUAGUAAAUUUAGUGAAACUAGAAAUAAGUGUGAAUUUAAGUCAGUGUAAUGUAGAUUUAGUUAGAAUUAAGAAUUGGGGAAAAGCUCCUUUUUAUAAAUAAUUUAUUUGGAUAAUGAGAAACUAGAGUAACGUAGAAAGGAAUUUGCUUUUGUCUAUCAGGUGAACUGGCAGAUGAUGAACCCACAGUUUGUAUUAAGAAUAUGACCCAAGCUCUGAGGUGUUCUCGCUUCUGUAAUCAAAGCUCUGCAAGCCAUCGGUACUGCAGUUGUGCCUGGUGCCCCAAGGAAUUCAGACUCCUGUCGUGGUGGGAACUGCAAGGAGGAGUGUUUGGAGCACCAGGAGAAGUAGCCUGAGAAAUCCUGUGUAGAGUUAGUUCUGUCCUUUAUUUGAGAAUAUAUUAAUGUUUUACUUGGUCGCAUUCUUCAGUCUGCAAAUAGCUGCUUUCACCUGCUUUUCAGAGAGGCCAUCUGAGACUCAAAGCUUUUGUCAAACUGGGUUUUAUUAGUCUUAGUUUUCCUCAUUUGAAUUAUUUUCCUUCUCUUCUAUUUCCUUAGGAGUUGAUAAUUGUAGAAAUAUGUGUCAUAAAUAGACUGCAAUUUAAACCAUCAUAUAUAAAUAAAUUGAUUUCCUAGGAAAAUCCUAUUUAAUGCAUAAGGACACACUCCAACUGUUGGGAUAUACCACUUUCCUAUUCCAAGUGAUGACUCGACUAAGAAAAGAACCACAAACCGAUGCUGUAGACAUCUGAGUACCUUCCAGUGGAAGUUCUCCUCCCUAAAUAUUUGAAAAGGGAAUAGUGUGGUUACCACGAAUGACUCUGGUAGCAGUGGCCACGUGAACUACAGGACUGUAAAUGAGCUGUGAAUGAGAUGUCUAUUGCACCUGAAAUGCAAACCAGUAUCCACCUCUUCUAGACUGACAAGUCAGCAUCUUGUGUGCAUGCAUGCGCAUAUAUAUAUAUAUAUAUAUGAAUAUGUAUGUAUGUGUGUGUAUAUGUGUGUGUGUGUAUGUAUAUAUAUAUAUACACACGUAUGUGGGUUUCGAAAUGCAAGCAAAAGAUAUCUGAAAGAAACAUCUUUCUUCCAGAACUGUGAAACUGGAUAACUCUUCUUCUAUAAGAAGCACCAAGUACUACACUUCCAGCACCUCAGCUGAAGCUGCAGCUUCUGUCUCAGCAUGAAGGCCAGACUUUCACCUAACAGUAUGCUGGGAGAUUGCACUUACAUUUCUUUAGCAAAGUUUGCAUGGAUUUAAGAAGUUAAUCUGGUAUUUUCUUAUGCUCUGUACAGGUCAUUACUGCUGACUACCUGAUUUUGUUGCCUUUAAAGUGGAACAAAACAAAUGCUGUUUCAUCAUUAAGCACUGGAUAUGAAACAUUAGGAAACAGGUGUUGAAAGUAUAAACAGCAAAAUAGGAGAAACUUAAAUUGGUGGUCAGCGCUUCUGUUUUAUAUGUGCUAUAGUCUUUGCAUAUAAGAUAAUCCAGAAUGAUUAAAAAAAAAAAGUCUUUUUUUUAAGUUUCUACCGCAGUUGUGAGAUUUUUACUAUCUUUAGUGUCCUGUUUUUGUGUAGAUGACUUUAAGAUAGCUGUAAUCUUUCAGGCACUGGAAUGGCCUGCCCAGGGAGGCGGUGGAGUCGCUGUUCCUGGCAGUGUUCAAGAGGCGUCUGGAUGAGGAGCUACGAGAUAUGGCUUAGUGGUUUGUGGUAGUAAUGGUAGUGGGAGGACAGUUGGACUAGAUGAUCUUGUAGGUCCUUUCCAACCUUGUGAUUCUAUGAUUCUAUAUGCCCCAUAGUGUUAUCCUUAUCCUUCAGUCCUUGCCUGUUUUCUCAAAUCUGGAAAAUCUACUGGGAUGAGAUGCUCUGAACACCCAACCUUAGAAUAAGGUAAGGCAAGAGUCUGAAGGGUAUUUGCUGAGACCUUCUGAAUUUAAUGACUACGUAUUCUUUGGUAAGCUAUUUUUCAUGUAAGCUGCACUUUCAGAUUUUACCAUUUAACUGCAUCUAGUUAAUAAAUAUGGGAUUUUCUUCAUUUGUGUAGUGUUUGUGGUGCUCUGAUGUGUCUUUUUUUUUCUCCCUUCUGGAGCACCAAUAAUUCACUUGACUAAACCUGUCGUAUUCUUUUGAUACAUGUGACAGUCACGUGUUUUCUAAUGUGUCACUUGUCAGUGUAAGCGGUAUUUCUUUCUGAUGUAAGCCCUCUAUUGAGUAUACUUGCAGAAAUGCUUUAAAAUGCUUAUUAAAACCAAUCCUUUAUUACUUUAACUUUGAAGUAUGAAAACAAUUCUUUCUUGCCAUUUUUUUUUUUAGUUUUGCUUUCUGCAUGUCCGAUUUCCUACAUCUGUUGUUCCCUUCAAGUGCAUAGAUGAGGAUUGAACUGUAUGUGUAUCUGUUUAUUUUGAUUUCUGGAACUAAUUCUGCAAUUCUGUUUCACUGAUAAAGUGGAUCUGCUGCUUAGGUGGCCUUCCAUAUCUUUGUUUCUGCAGCAACUGUGCUCUUAAUUGUUUAUAUUUUAAAGCCUAAAAUCUUCCCAUUAAUUUGCUUUCCUUUGUACGCUAAAGUAACUCUUUUAAAGAUGUAACUUCUGUGGAUUGAGAGUUAGUGAUGUAUUCCUGAUGCUGUGGCACUGACGAGAUGUGACUUAUUUGGAAACUUUCUUUUCUUUCAAGAGCUUUGUGUUGUCACGUAGGAGCCUGCAUGUCACUUUCCUGUUUCAUCUGUCUGUUGUUGAUGAAAGCAGAACAUGUUAAACUCCUGAGAAGCAAAUUGAAAUUCAUUGACAUCAUAUGUAUUCCUUCCCACCACCCCAUACAGUAUCAAGUCACUGCAUACCAUUAUAAAUUUAUGACCUCUUCAGGACUCAGUCGUCAUUUGAUAAGAUCUGCUUUUGUCUACAGGGAAAUUACCAGUAUUUCAAUCAGUAAGGAUGAUACCCAGUGAGAAGCAUGGUAGUUAUCCUUACUAGGUCACAGACAAUUAAAAAUCAGUAAUUCUUGUUUGAUUUCCCUUGUUUUAAAAACACAAAUUUGUUCCCUAGAGCAAAGUAUGUUAGAUAUUUAUAGUUAGCAUGCCUUGUACAUAGGACAGUUAUGCUUAUAAUCCAACUGAAACCCCUUUGAGAGAAUGUCUAUAGUAGACUCUUAAAACUGGAAACAUAAUCAAAGUGGAACAGAAAAAUACUUUGAGAGUCACUGGACAUAUGGCCUGUAUAAUUUCUUCAUGACUUGGUAUAUGUGGCUGAAGGUUUUGGGGAAGUGUGUUAAUAAAAUAAUAGAAUGAACAAAAGAAAUACUUUAAAGGGAGUUUUAAAUUCUCUUAAAAGUGCGUCUUUAGUAGACAGCCUUACGGGCAGUCACUCUGUGAAUUGUCAGCUCAAGGAUUAGUGACUCUCAGUUCAAGUAAGUUUAAAAAAAAAAGAGAAAAUGGAAAAAAGGAAACAGGUUACAUUCUCCCUAACCUAAUAAAUGCCUACGUACUCUGUAUAACCAGUUCUACCUCCUGAACUUUUGACUACUGAUGUCUGUGUUAGCUGUGUUUAAUGUGGGUCAAAGCCUUCAUCUGUGUUAGAUAUACUUUUACUAGGCUUUGGUGUCAUGAUUGUUGGAUGUUUUGGAUUAGACCCUGUUGUACAUGUUGAGGUAAUAGAAGAGGAUCUUGUUUGAAAAUCCUACUUUGAUUUCCUUGUUUAGGUGUUGUGGACAUAACUGAAUAGGAACAGAAGCUUGAGGAAAAUGACUUGUCGAGAUGUAGGCAAUUAAUAUUGUGCAUCCUGAACAAUGUUAAUCGAGCACGAGUGGACCUGAGUUACUGCAGAAAAUUGUGGUCUUCUAAUCUGUUGCACUUCCCCAUCUACUCUCUUGCUUGCAGAGGCACUCUGGUAGCUAUUCAGUGAACUGGCUGAAAAUUCAUUUUCAUCAGUGUUAACCUACUAAGGAAGAAAUAUCACCUUCCAGUUGCCUCAGUGUUCUUAAUCUGGUUCACCACAUCACCAAGUGACUCUUAGUCAGAAAGGGCUGAGAGUGGGAAAAGACAGGACAACGUUCCUCUGCAGCUCCCGCUUGUUCCAGACGUUAAAGUAUGCAUGGAAUUAGACUGGAACAGACAGUUUGACCCUGAAGGGCAAAGCUAGAGUUUCCAGUAUCACUUAGAUGUUUGUGUCCAAGUGCUUUUUUUAGGCAAGUGUAUCCUUUGGGGCAUUCAGACCUCAGUGUUUUAUUGUUUUUUUUUUUUUUUUUUUAAAAAAAAAAAGCACUAGAUUUAUUUUUAGAAGUUCAGACUCUUAGGAAUGUGACAAUAUCACAUGAGUAGGCCAGUUACUGGAGAAAGAGCCAUACACACUGCAAAAUAUGGAAUAAUGAGGCUAGGAGCCUGUGCUGUCGCCAUUCAGUUUAACAUAGCUGGAAAUAUAAGAAAGUAAGCAAAUUAUUUGAUGAGUUAGCAGUGAACCUGGCUGUAACAAUUUUACAGAAGCAAGGGCAGCCAACAGCUUGUCAAUUUGAUGGGUGGCCCCCAAAGUUUUUUUUUUAAAAGGAAAUCACUCAAAUCUAUUGCUUUCGUAGGAUUUACCAGCGUGUAUCAGUUCUCAGCUACUGGCCUGGGAACCACCAGUGGAAUGUAAAGCCUGUCUAUCAUCUGUAAACUGAAGUAUUUUCAAUAACCGUGCAAUUCAGCAGCAGAAGAGGAGUAAUUAAAUGUCUUAUAAAAUGCUGAAGAAAACAAUUAGCAAGCAGAAAAGUUGGAGAUCAAUGUAGAAGUAUCUUCUCAGUGGUCCCCGGACUAGGCAACAUGACAGUUAUCUCCCUAAUUUCUCAUAAGUGAGGCUACCCUGACUGACUUCAGUUACAAACAUCCUUGCCUGUGCUGCUGCAUCCUGCUGUGCAGAACUCGCAGUGUGUGCACUCAUGGAGUUAGGGCUGUAUUGGACCAGAGAGAUUAUCGUGUUACAAAGGAGAAAUGAAAUAAAGAUCUUACCCACGUCCUGGGCUCACAGAAGGGCUCCAAGAGGAAGGAUCUCCAGCCCUUAAAUGGGGUCUAGGAGGGGUGCAGCCAGGCUCCACCCCUUCUGGUCACUCAGGUGAAAUUGCAUUCACCUGUGCCCCUGCAGCUGACUCAACACUCGCCUCAGGUGGUCAAUCAGAGGUUCAGGCCGUGAUUCAACUGUUCCCAUACACCUAAACAGAAAUGAUUCUCUUAUCUCACAUGUGAGAAUAAAAUAUGAUACAAACUAUUCUGUGACUGAGGAAAGAUAUCUGAGUGGUGCAUAGUGAGUCAACACAUCACAAGUCCAUUUUUCCAUGUCUGUAUGGGAAAGGAGGGAGGGAAAGUGAUGUUUUGAGUAGGAGGCUUCUUUCGGAUUUUUCUCUUCAUUUUAGGUGAAGUCAGUGUUCUGCAUUUGUUAAUGGCAAAAAUCAGUUCAGGAACUGGUUCUAAUUUAAUGAAGCCUUUAUGUAAUUGAUUUUUUUCUUCUAGUACAGAAUAUUGUUGCAAGAAUUCUUUCCUUAAACUUUUUAAUUAAGUAGAAAUAAUUACCAAUAUGUAGUCAUAUUUUUGAUAAAAUACUUGGUGUAUUCUUCCAUGUGACUUGAGUUCUAUAGAGUUCCCCUGUAAUGCUCGGAAUACAAAUAUUUCCAGAACACCAGUGAUUGCUUUUUAGUUCAGAUAACUUACUGUAAGGUAGUUGGUUAAGAGGAGCAUAAGAACAAACAUAGGGGGGUCAGGCUGUGCAUCCAUUUACCUUAGCAACCUUCUUUAGAUCAUCAUGCUCACUCAGCAUCAGGUGCUUAGAGAAGAACAUGAGAGCAGAGAAAGCAUACAGUGAUUGGUCUUUACCACCUUAUUUGAUCUAACUUUCAGCAGACUCUUGAAUCAGUGGAAACAUAUGUAUAUAACAUGCUUUAGUAGAUUAUGCUUUUGUUGAUUCAUGUAGCAAGAAAUGUUUCUAGAGUCUAGUAAUACUCUAUUCUGUGUGGCUUGUACAGAUACUGUCAUUGUUUUGAAAAUUGUAUCUAUUAUUUGCUGCCCAACUGUACUGUUAGGAGAAAAAGCAAAUGAUGAUUUCCUAUGCCUCUUUUCCAUGUUUUCCGUGAUUUUAUAGACCUUCUGUUUCUUAUCAGCUGUCUGCUUCAGAGCAAAGGGCUCUUAAUCCCUGGCAGAUACUGAAAGAACUUCCUGCUUGCCUGUUCCUGUUUCCUUCGCUGUCAUAAAUGUUCAUACAGUCACACAAAGACAGACUGAGGAAACAAUCCAUGUAAAAAAUGCUGUUCCCCAUCUGUAUGUACUUCUGACAGUUCAGCUCAGCCAGCCCAUCCCACUGUGUGGUGCAUGGGCAUGUGAUGGCAGGAACAGGAAUAAACUGUGGAGACCUCCUUAGCUAUGUGGGCUUCAGCCCUGUCUGCUCUCUGAAAACUUCUUGGUGUUGUUCUCUCACCUGGUAUUAAGUGAAGGUUGUUUGCUUUGUCAUUGAUUAUACUCUUAAAAACAAGAACAACAACAAAAAGCAACAGAACAUGCAUAGCGAAAUUGUUUCAAAGCAGUAGACCAAACCAUAAAGGUAAAUUGGUCUUACGCUGCAACUUUUUCUUUAGUGUUGAUGCUAGUUCAGUCUUUUUCCUAUCAAACUGUCAAAUUCUCAUUAAAUGUUAGGAAUACAUCACCUCUGAGACUUUAGAGUCUCAUCCAACUUGGUCAAAACUGAUGUAUGGUUAAUUGGUGUAAUUUAUUUGGAGAGGAACGGUAGCUACCAUGACUGCAGAAGUCUGACUUGCUUAGGAAAACUUGGAGGGGGAUGGGAGGAGAUGAAUUCUUUAUUUAAAAGUCAGAUGGCUUGUUUGGAGGAAUCUUCAUGUGCUUUUUAUUUCCCUUUCCUGUCUAUGUUGUUUUCCUUGGUUUUAGCAGUAUGAUGAUCUCUUCAGAUCAUACUGAAAAUUGCCUCUAACAUUUAUUUCUAAACAUGCUGAUUUCUUCUGCUUCUAUAAAUUUCACUGUACAGCUGGAAUAGCUGUGCUCUGCUAGCUCCACAUAAAACAGAAAUGCAUUUACUAGUUCCAUAACGUUUAUGCUUCUGGAGCUAAGUCAUCUUUGCAUUUGGUGGAGCUUACAGAGGGCUGUUUUCUCAGUAGAGAGACUGGGGAAAAUACAUAAUGCAAAAUCUUCAGGAAUAUUAUUUCUAGUAAGCCACGAAUACCAGAUGGCUUUGAAACCUAUUUAGUUAUCUGUUUUUGUUAAUCUUGCUUUGCUUGCUUGAGACCUCCAAACUUAUUUUCCCCACCUGCAGAUAAAUAUAGGGUCAUAGGAAUCACUGUUUUGGGUCAGGCCAUCUGUUCUUUAAUUAGGACUUGUAACAGAUACUUAGGAUGACUAUGCACAAGAACCUACAGUAGGCUGUCAUGAUAAUAAUAUAUUAAAUUAUAAUAUUAUAUUAAAUUAUAAUAAAUAGGGAAUCUCUCCCUGGGAUCCUGUUAGUUCAGCUUCUGUUGUAAAGCUCAAAGACACUUGUAUCUUUUCCAGGUCUUUAUUUUUAAAUAUUUUCUACUGCGAUGGCAUUUUAUCUUUUGUUCUCUCCUUUAAUGCGAGCAAGCAUUCAGCUUUGCAGUCCUCUAUCCCUCAGCAGUGAGUUCCCUGGGUUAACAUAUGGAGAAGUACCUGUUUAGUUAAUGGUGAAGUUGUUGACUGUCAAUUUAGUUGAACACCUUCUCUGGCUCUGACAGUAUUCCGGAAAGGUAACUCUUCAUCUACCUUUCCUGUGCCAUUUUCUUGGGAAAAUAACUUUAUUUUUGCUGCUUUCUCCCUGCAUGCUGCUACUUCUGUGCUUCUUGUUGUUCUUGGUUCCUAUCUCUGAAAAGCUUUCAGCUGAGCUGCAGUAACUGGAUGGUUCAAAUUUCCCACCAUGCUUCGGUUGAGAAAUCAUUGUUCUUGUCUAUAAGGUAAAAUUUUUCUUAUGCUGCUGAAGGUGUGAAUUCACAGAAAGUACUGUUAGUAUUUUAGGUUUUAUUUGAGGAAGAUAUGUUGUGUUGUAGUAGUAAAGAUGGUUUUGCAAGGGAGGUGUCUAAAUCUGCUACAGUGCUACAGCAAAGUGAAGGGUUCUUAAGGUGCAUGUUUUCAAAGCUGCUUUGAGAGACCAUGGCACUAAACUAAAAGGUGGGGAGAGUUCCUUUUCAGGGCUGGGGGUGUGCCUGUGUUUCUUUUGGCAGUUUUAAAUCCAGAUCGAGAUGCAGCACCAAUGUUAACAUCUUAACAGCAGCUUCCAAGCUAGCGGUUGUGGGCAUGGACCCCCAAAAAACUUAAUGUGCUGGGCUUUUUUUUUGUAUCCUAUACUGGGCUUUUUUUUGUAUCCUAUGCUGAUCUGAAAUAAAAUUCAGUGCAAUUGAUGUAGAAACCAGUUGAUGUAGAUAAAUACUGUAAUUUUAAAUACCUGAGCAAAAGGGAUCUUUAGCCGUCUUUGUUUUUGCCUUUUGCUUUUUUUCGAUGGAGCCUUUUUGUCUGUGGAGUACUGUUUGUGAAGUAUCACCCUCCUUAUAUCACUUAUAUUUUUCUAUAUAGAUUCUUAGAAAACUCAAACUUCAAGGUGAGUGUAAGUUAGUAGCUGAAGGAAUCAAUAGGCUUUGAGUGAAUGGACGUGAAGGGAAAUACGAAAAUUGUGAGGAGGAGGGACAGAUUGAUGUUGGAUACGUUAAUUGAAAAAUGAGGUGUUGAACCUUAUCCUGACUAGCAAAGAAAUGCACUUCUUUUUCUAACCUGCUUAUAAGCAUUAGAGCCGGAAGCCUCUUUUAUGUUGUGCUCUGGUUUCCAAGGAGAUGUGAGAUAUUUCUGAGAAACUGAGAAAUCAUGGAAAGAGGAAUUUUAAAUUGCAUGUCAAACCACAAAAAAUGCAGUGGCAGGGAAGAUUUGCAAUAUGAAGUAUUUUAAGGGUAGAGCUUAGAUCCUAUAUAGCUGAAAUACUUUUUCACCAGUGGUAGUGAUUAGCGUUUAACUGAGAGCUAAAACAGUUUGAUAAACAGCAUUCUUUUCAUUUUUAACUGCUUGGAGAGAAGACUAAGUGCCAAAGAUAAAUAAAUGGUAUUUAUCCUGUCUGGAAAAAUUCUUUAUUCAGAAUUAAAAGCCCUAAAAUCUUACUUUAAAAAAAAAAAAAAAAGAGAUGGUUGAAAAAUGCUGGAGAUAUAGUUCUUGAAAUAGCAUUUGGCUUGAGAGUGUUGAAUGGAUAGGUACUACAGACAGAGCAGUUCAGGAAUGUACUGUGUCUCGGAUGCUAGAAGCUACUUUAGAUUAUACAAAGUGUUUAAGUCAACUUCUUGAGCAAACUGGAAACUUUCACUUGACAACAGCAUGUGUGUAGCAUCCAACGUUUUUGCAAGCAAGAGAUAAGGCACACUGUGAUAAAACCUACUCAAAUGCUGGCUUAUGCUUUGGAGCUCUGGGUAGCUCCAGUAGGUCCUAUGAAGCCGAAAGAGUGGACUAAUUUUGCUAAAUAUAUACAUGUGCCGUAUUCUCUGAGAGAACUUGCAAAUUAAUAACCAAGAGAUGGACUUCUUUGUGCUGCCUUGACACUCGUCAUGUUCUAGAAUAUUUUAGUGCAGUGUUGCGAAGAUGUGAUUCUGCAGCAGACUUUCCGACACAAGGAGAGACUGGGUAGCAUCUGUGCUUACGUACUGCAAACUAUAUGCUUUGUGCUGUAUGUUAUAUAUAGCCUUAAGAUUUGUCAUUGCUGUAGAUGCAAUAUGGUUCCCCUGGCUUUAUUUCUGUUUCAUCUGUUAAUGUGAAUCAUGUCUUCACUUGUGUACUCACGUUGUCACUAAGUAGGCUGAUCAGCAUCUUCAUCGCUCUUGUAUUAUUUCUGCAUCUCAGGUGUGGCUAGCAGGCUGGUAGGGCAUGUAGCAAGCAAUCUGGGAGAGUCUGUCUGAACCUCUGAAAGUUCAUUGGGAUUGGUAAGUGGAAACUGCAAAUGCUGUCAUUUGGAGUAGAAGUCAAGCUGUAAGUCUGGGGGAUUGCAGGCUUUUAGGUAGUAUUGCUGGGAAAAACUUUGGCUUCAGUCGAAGUGUAAGUAAGGUGGUAAAUCAGUCAAGAAAGUACUGUGUGUAUUGAAGCCUUCUCUCCCCCAGUUCUCCUCACUUGGGGGAGGGGGCCAACGUUGGCAUUGUUUGCUCUCCAGCUACCCGUAGUUCUGUUUCUUGUUUAUUUGAUAAAUUAAUAAAGCAGGCAAUAAAAUAAAAGGCAGAGAUGCACGAGUUAGUAAAAUAAAUACAUAAAAUUUAUAAAAAUGUAUUUUUAGAAUGCAAGAAAAGUAUUUUGUUUGUGUUGGUGAAAAUGUUCGUGAUAUUGUAUUGGAAAGUUGUUUGGGGAAAAUAAUACAAGUCCACAAAAAGAAAUAAAAAGCCAUAAUAAAUUGCAGAGCUUUUGCGUGUACAGGUGAAGGAUGGGUUAUUGAUGCAGAAAAGACAUCUUUACUGGUUGCAUAUGACUGCAGUUCUCACUUUACACAUGCUUCUUUUUAAAGCAUCAGGCCUCUGAGCUACAAAAUGAUGUGGGUUUUACCUUUCCUUGAACGACAUGAUAGUAGAAAAAUAGCAGAAAACUUGGUUGUUUCCCACAACUGCACUUCCUAUUUCUGCUCAUAAAUGAGUUGAUUUUGACUUUGAAUAUGUAUAAAUGGUGAAAGUAGAGGAAGUAAUACAGGGGCCAAGUGGAGAAGAGUAUCUUUUUUUUCUGUUGGUGUUGGCACCUGGGUUACGUAGGGCACAACGGGCUCUCGUGCCUCAGUCAGCACUUCAGCUGUGCCGCCUUCUUCCAGGCCUUCCCUGAAGACAGCAAAGUGAAGAUUAUUUAAUAAGCAAGGUUCCAGUGAAACCUCAAAGAUGAGGGGAAUUCCAAAAGGAAAAUAAAAAACUCAUCUGUCAGGAUGGAUUCUCCGGCUGUCAUUCAGAGCAGAAAGCUGCAGAAUGCUUGUGGCCAGCUACAUGAAUGUGAGCGUGUGAAACUUUUCCACCCCCUCGCGUGCGUAACAGAACAUGCUUAGAUGAGAAUGGUUUAGGCAGGCCACAGUUAGUUAACGUACACUUUGUGUUUAAAACUUUUUUGAAAGAAAAUAGUUGUUUUUUUAAAUCAGUUUUAUUCUGAAGGACUUAGGAAGUUUUUACAGUGCUGAGGCGUUGCCUCUUCAGUUGUCUCCUAUGUGAAACUGUCAUCAGGUUUGUUUAGAAAUAUGAUUUUGCUGCUGUAAACAUUUAAUUUGUCAAAGCACGUGGGAAUGGCCCUUCUUAAAUGCAGAAUCUUUUUAGUAAUUUUAUCCUUGAAGACUAAUGAGUAGGAUAUCUCAAAGCACACGGAUCUUGUCCAAGGAAGGGUCUUCACUGCAGUGUGUGCUUCGAUGUAAAGUCAAAGGAACUACUGUCUGCAUUAGAGUUAGCAAUGAAAAUAGUCAUCACAAUUCUGCAUUUUUAUUUAUUUAUUUAUUUAUUUUGCUUUAGAAACCAAUAUUCUGAACUUGACAGAGAUUUUGCAGGAAGAAGUGGCCAUCUAAGGAACUAACUUAGGAUUUAUAUGAAAGUUGUCUAAACAGCUUCCAGCUAAUUGCGUGCUGCAGUUCACACAGCACUGUUCUCUUUGGGUCUCGCUUCCAGCAGCACCCCGGAGCCACGCUGCAGCCCUUGUUCUGCAUUGGACACAUCUGCUCAUUUUCUCUUCCCCCUCGUCAGCUGCUGCCAGUGUGGAGUUGGAUAAGGUGUCAGUUUCAGUUUGUCUUAAUGAAGCCAUCCAUUAAAUGCAUUCUUCAAAUCCAGACGAGUCUGUCUGUUGUUCUCUGCAGGAGUUUGGCUCGGUGAGGCAGGAUUGCUGGCACUGCCACACAGCCAGGCACUGCGACACCCAGAGCUGGUCUGAGUUGGUCAAGCUUUGCUUAUUUAGCAGAGCCUUUAUAGGUACAACUUUAAUAAAUACCAGGGAGUAAAUAUCUUUUUUUUUUUUUGUCUCCAGAAGGAUUUGAGGGAAAACUAGCCAUUUUUUUUUCUUUGUCCCCAUUGAGUGGUGUUUGGGCAGUUUUGCAUGUAGUGAUCAUUCUGUCAUUGAAAUCCUCCUUAUCUCUUGCAAAAGUCCACUUUGAAAGGGCAACAAAUCGGUUGUUGGAUUCCUGUUCUCACACACUGGGAAACAGAAAUCCUUAGCUGGGGUGCUUCAUAAGCUUUCCUGCUUACAGUAAGGUCUUUGAGGCUGGCCUUUACUAGACAUUGGCUUUGAAAAGAAAAUACUGAUGAGUGAUGAGAAGAAAUGUACCUGCCUGUAGAAAAACAUGUUAUGUGAAGUAAUAGGGCGCUAUAGUACAACAGGAAUAUGCGGUGAUGUGGGCUAACGUGUACAAAAGUACUGGUGAAACAGCAUUGCUUUCUUAAUUAAGGGACAUUUUUCCCUCGGAGAUCUUAAAGGUGGAGUGACUGCAGUGAGACAUCUGCACCUGCCUUUUCUCCUUGCCAACCUCCUUGAGGCUAUUCAUUACUGCGCUGUUAGGGAGUCACCUUUAUGGCGCUCCAUGCAUAGCAUUACCUGUAGUGUUUGAAUUAUCAUUCAGUUUGUGAAAUGAGAACCUCGCCGAAGCCUUUGGAACUAAUUAAAUGCCAUCCUCCUGGGAGCUGUCCUCCGUAAGCAGGAACAACAGAAGCAUGGUGCUGUGCUGAGCCCUUGAGAGGCUGAAGCGUUUCCCCAGCUGCUGCUUCUGCCUGGGCUGACGACUUGUAGCCAUUUUAUCACUCACAUUUACAUGGCAGAGCUCUAAGCAGAAACCUCAGGCCGCACUACUGCUUAAUGUAUAAUAAAUAAUAUUUGCUAUCUUUAAAAGGCUAAAUGAAAUGUGCAUUCUGUGCUUUUAACAAGAGGUUCUGUAAACAUUUUAUACAGCUUCAAAACCCAUCUAAUCUUUAAUGGGUUGUUAAGAGAUCUCAUUAAUAAAAUGUAUUUUCUUACUAAUGCCGUCACCAGCAGAUUUAAGUAAAAAUGCUGUGGCUGAAAGCUGUUGAACAAUUUCCUAAUGGAGCGCUGUUGAGAAUAAACCAAAAGUGCUGUAGAAGCAGUGUUUGACAGUUGGAGGAGGCCAAAGGAAAUUUGUUAGUGAUGCCAAAUCUGGAAGGUGACUGUAUGCAGAUCAGGACCUGGUGGGGAUCAGGGAGCCUUUUGCUGCUCAUUCGAGUCGUCUGCUUCCUGAGAAGUUAAUCUGAUGCUUCUGACUUCUUACAGCUGCUUGACCUGUGAGAGCUAAUUUUAGCUGCUUUAUGGUAUACAACAGGCAUGUCACAUAUUACUCUCUUUUUUUUCUUCUUCUUCUUAUAUUUAUGGCAGAAUUAGGGAAGCAUUUCACUGAAUUCUAACUAAUUCUCUGAACAAAUAAAAUACUACGAAACAAAAAACAGUUUUAUUUUCCUAGUUUUUUUUCCCUUGGCUAUUUAGCUUUCAUCAGUGUGCUGUUUGCCAUCAGUCCUCCAUUCAGUACAGUGUCUUUCAGUUGCUAAUAUGAAUGGACAGUGGAGAAGAUAUUUCCGUGGCUCUGUAUCUAUUCCUUCCUAUACUUGAAGAGUGGUGUUAAGAUCUGUGUCCUCAACGAAACUUUGAAAAAGUGACUGAGAUUAUUGCUUCUCUGUAGGGAAAUGAUGUUUUCAUCUUCUGCUUUUAGCUCAGUGUUAUGCUGCUGUAAGGAUUGCUCGCUGUUAUCCCUGUGGGUUGCUCUGGUGAAAGUGUGUUUGUAGGACAGGCCCACAAACUUUUAAGUGUGUCUUAAAGGAAUUGCUGAGAGUGUGUUUCCAGUCCCUUUCAAAGAUACAGCGUGCUUCAUCCACAAGCAUUCAGAGUUUGAAACCAUAGAUUCAAACAAACAAAAUGCCCUUCUGUAAAGUGGGUAACAUCUAUUAAUGAAUGCAUGUGCAGUGUCACAGUGUUAAGGAGAUCAAUUCCACUAGAUGCUCAGCUGUCUCUUGGCCUCCAGCUGCUGCUUUCCCUACGCUUCACACCUAAAUUGCAUGAAAAGUAUUUGUGGCAGUAGGGAAGGUGGAGUUAGGUACAUUUGAGGCAUCUUCCACUAAAAUAAGUAGAUAUUUCUUGUGCACUCUUCAGAAUAGUUUAAUCUGAGUGCAUUUUGAAAUUGCACUGUAAUAUUAAAAGAAAAGCAGUACUUACAAUCAGAAACUCCAUCCACUUCUUUUUAUCUACCACGUAAUUUCUUCUGGCAUAUCUUCUUAUGCAGUGUUUUGUUGGUUUUUUUUUUUUU